UACAGAGGGUGCAAGCGUUGUUCGGAAUUACUGGGCGUAAAGGGCUCGUAGGUGGCCAACUAAGUCAGACGUGAAAUCCCUCGGCUUAACCGGGGAACUGCGUCUGAUACUGGAUGGCUUGAGUUUGGGAGAGGGACGCGGAAUUCCAGGUGUAGCGGUGAAAUGCGUAGAUAUCUGGAGGAACACCGGUGGCGAAGGCGGCGUCCUGGACCAACACUGACACUGAUGAGCGAAAGCCAGGGGAGCAAACGGG
rnacentral:rRNA from 1 species